GCUGUCCCCGCCCCUCGCUCUGUUUUCCACCAGCUGCCUGUCCAGCGGGCCUGCCGCCUCCACCGCCCAGUCCUUGCUCAGGUGUCACUGUUGCUGGCAGGCCAGGAUUAGGAAAGGAGAAUGGGCAGGGGGUGGUGGCUGGGAGGAGAUGGGCUCUACCAUGCCACCCCCACCCUCACUUGGCUUCCUACCCUGGAAUCCGCAUACACCCCCGCGCCUCCUUGGCACCCGCGCCUUGGAGACUGGGUUAAGCUGCAGUGUGAGUAGCCAAGAACGGACGGUGUCUCCGGGUGUGUGCGUGGCCUGUGAGAGGGCACGGAGAAGGCGGGGAGAGGAGUGAAGCGGGUGGGGGCAACCGAGAGAGGGCGGAGGAAGGAAGAGCGCGAGGAGCUUGGGGCCCACGGCGCAGCUGCUGUCGCUGCCGCAGCUGUCCAGGGACAAUCGCCAAAACUAUGACAAAUAAACAACUUACCUUGCGGAGAUGGGCUCCGCCUGUGAUGGGGUGUACGGUUGUAUUUUCUAGUGGGCUUUUGUGUUGGCGGUAUGGUGGCUGUUACUGUUUCCCACCCAUGCAUGCACACCUUAAGAGGAAGGGUCCCCUGUCAAAAGUCGCGGAUCAGGGACCUGGCUGUGUCUGGCGCUGCGGGACACAGGACCGGGCUUUCCUGGGAGAGUGGGGACAGGAGUCCAAGCGACCCCGGGCGAUUCAGCCAUCCUAGGCUGCCCUGUUGCACUCUAUGGAGAAAUGUGGGAGCGGGAGAAACGUGGAAGUCGCCUUUUGACUGUUCACACAAGGACACUCAGCCACUGUUUGGGACAGGCGACACCAAAUCUGCCUGUCAUCCACUUGGUACUCUGGAUAUCCGCAGGACCUUGGAGCUGUAGACAGUUGCCCUCCGCGGUAUCUCAGGUUGGAAGGAAAGUUAAGGCGAGAAUGCUAGACGCUGGGGGGCAGAGUGUUAGUAGCAGAAAUGCUCCUUUCAGACCAGAGGAAUCUUAGAAGUGGUUCUCCCUCUGCCAGGUGUCAUCUCAGCCUCUCCUGGAUCAACCUCAGCUCCAAGGACCCUCAAGAAAGUUGGAAUUCUGGAGGGAAUUAUGAAGAAAGUUAAACAAAUUUUUCACCCUCAGUCCUUCCUAUUUUAUUUGCAAAUUCCAAAUGGGUUUUUCCUAUUUCCUGAAUUGAACUACAGACCCAAUAAAUGGCCUAGAAAAGGGUUUAGGAAGGCAGGAGAUGGAGCCAGCAGAACUGUUUUGACGACAGGGAUUAGAUUAAGCUCAAACUUGAAAACUAAGUUUUAAUAACUUAUUUUUCGGGCUGGUGGUGCUGGAACACAAGGGGUAGUGUGAACUGCAAGAAGUAGGAACACACACUAGAAAGUAGCCUCUGGGGAGGCCUCCAAGAUAAGGGGCAGGAUAUGGGGUGUGUCCCACCAGCAAAGAGAGAAUGCCAUGGGCCCAAAGGGUGAGAUUCUGCUGGCCAGUUUACAACCCCAGAAUAGGAUGUGGUAAUUAGGCAGACAAUUUAUUCAAUAAUUAUGUAUUGUGCUCCUUUUAUUCAUAUGCCAGACACUGUGGUAGGUAAUUUAUGAGCCUGCAUAUAGGGGUGUGGUGCUCUAAAAAUGGUCUUCCCUGUCAGUAAAGCCUAGAGUCUGGCAUAGCUUUCAGAAAACAUAAAAUCAUGUGCUCCUAGAGGUCACCAUAAUCUCCUCCAAAAGGGUUUGUUGCAAACAGCCUCCUGGACACAAGAAGAGUUAGUUGCUGAGGCAGAUUUGGGAAGUUGGUCCCAGGCCAGAUGGCACACAGAGAGGGAAGGAUGCCAAGACCUGUGGGUGAAGAGGGCCUGCUUCAGGAAAGACCAGGAAACCAUGUCCAGGGAUGCUCACUUCCAAGGGCAAAACAUUCUCACACACAUGUGGCAAACAGAUAUAGUUCCCACUGUUAUUUGGACUAACUUUCUCCAAAUAUAGGAAAAUGCCAUUGAACCAACAUCAGAAGGCUUAGAAUGUCAGCAGCAUAGAGAAGUUUUAUGAUAGAGAUAGGAAAUAAAGGCACACCUUUCAGUCACACCCUUCAGUCCGCUACAGGUCUAGGACACCUCCUAGCUGAGGUAUGUGUGGGAAAAAAAAGUUAUGAAUCAUAAUUACUUCACAACAUAUCUUAUUAUCAUCAGGCAUUUUUAAAGCAUGUGUAUAGUUCUACAACUGUUGCAACAUAGACACUUCUUAAACAAAUUGGACCCUGCUCCAAAGAAAACUAACAGCAGGUUAAAAACUGGGGACUAGUUAAUAUCCAUAAACUUGGCUUACUGAACCUGAUAGCCAAAUUAUCUUUUUUACUCAGAUAUUCAUUUAGACAUCCAACUGUCUGCAACUGCCAUUCUUUCUUUUUUUUUUUUUUAAUCCUGUUAGACUGUCCGAGCUAUUCUUGAUUAUAUUACCACUUCAUAGAAUUACCUUUGGAAUUUACAUUUUCAAAAAGUUAUUUCAAUUUCCAUGAGCUGACUUUGGAAAUGUCCUCUGCUUGUGAAGAAAAAAUUAAGAAAAUAAAAAGUUAGCCCCCCCCACCAAAAAAAAUGCACUUUCCUUUCCAUAAUCUAUCUCUCUAGCAUCUGCCCAGCUAGGAAGUCCAUUUCCCAGCCUGACCCUGGAUCCAGGCUAAAGUGUUCUGUCACUUGCUAGCCAAGGUAGUUAAGGAGCAGAUACACAUUCUCCAGUCUAUCAGCUCCCAUCCUUUAGUUGCAUACAGAGGCUUCUAAGACUCAGGGACCCACAGAACAUCAUGUGGCUAGAGCUAAUUCUUCAACUAAAGGAAUGCUGUCACCUAUGAAGAAAAUCUGCAUUAUACUUUACCUUAUAAAGAAAUAAUCUUCUGUUGGGUUAUUCCACUAGUUGAAGAUAUGUUUGUUAGGGUAGGUAGUAGUACUAUAUCAACAUACAAAACUCAUUUAUUUUAUUAAUUGAAAGAAUAAAAUCCUUAGUUAAAUCCCAAAGGCUUGUGUAACUGUUAUAUAAGAGAACAACCCGAAGACUAAAAAUAUUCCCUCUUUUAAUACAUGAACAUCAAAUCUUAAUUUUCUGUGAAUGAAUUAUUCAUUUACCAGUUGUGUUUUGAACACCUGUUCUGUACAAGGUAUGAUGUUAGAUGAUGCAUAAAAGUAUAGAAUGAAGAAUGAUUCAACGAUUUUGUUUCUCCACUCAAGGAUCUCAAAGUCUUACUUUAUAACUGUUACAUACAUAUUAUCUUUACAAACAAUUAAGCAUAAGAAGCUGCUUUCUCUUACUAUUGGAGAAAACAAACUAGUUUGCUAUUAGUUUCAUCAAAAAUAAUAAUAAAGAUAAAUAUGAGGGAAAGUAAUGUGUACUUGGAAUCAUGUGCAUUUAAAUGCUUUAUACAGUUUGGAUGCAAAUUAUAGGAAAUGAAAAAUAUUUUGUUUUGCUUACUAAGUGAUUUGCUAUAUCCAGAGGAAAAAAAGAAAGAAGAAAAGAGGAAAAAAUGACAUUGUUUUUUAUAUCUUAUUUUGAGAAUAACUUUUAAAAUAUUGGACUUUGAUUCUGGGGUGGAUUUACUAUCAUUUGGAUAUUAGACUUGAAUAAUAAUUUCUGGACAUAGCUCUUCUAAGUUAGAUAUCAGUAUGUUCUAUCUACAUUCUCACUUAAGAUGGUGGGAUACAAAGUUGAAGGAUCUGUAAAUAGACAGUCAGGCCUGGAAAGGCCAUGAAUGUGUGUGAAUUUGAUGUAUGUUCUUAAAUCAAGUUCCCACACCAUUCCCUUCUAUUUGUAUGGAGUUCUUUCUUGUUUACUAUAGAGGCUCUAUGAAAUACACUAGUCUACAUGGAUUUUAUUUGAGGUUCAAACUGAAAGGGCUUUAUGUUGUUGAUCUUUUGGAUUUGUCUUGAAAUUUUCUUGAGCCUUGGUUUUGUCAGGAGGUAGUUUAAUUCAUUUAGACAAUUCUGAACAUUGAGCAUUUUUAUAGCAAGUAUAUAUAGGAAUACAUAUAAUUUUUCCACUACAGAUUAAAUGAAAAUCUUUGAACUUGUAUACCAAGUUCAAUAUGGAGAAAUAUUUUACAUAAAAUUUGGCAAGAAUAUUUGAUCAAUGUUCAUUUGGAUUUAAUAACCAAAUAUUCGUUUUAUUUAUAUUUGUAUCCUCAUUUCAUAUCCAAGUUCUUGGCACAAUGUAGGUGCUCAACAAAUUUUGUUGAAUGAGUGUUGGUAUUCACAGUAUGAGAUAGAUGUUAGGCUAAGUACCAGGGUCUCUAUUCUCAAGGAGAUAUCAGUAUGACUAAAACUCACAGACACACAUAUGAGAGAGAAAUGUCAUUAACUCUUUCUCCUAGACAGUUUUAACUUUAAUUUAAUUCCAGACUUUGAAAUUAUGAAUAGAUUGUGCCAAGUCAUAAAUGUUUCCAUUAAGAAGAGCUAUACAUUUGCCAUUCUAUUUUAAAAAUCCAAGAAACAAAUGUGCUAUAAAAUUUUAUGUAUUUUGGCUUUUCUAAACUCAAAAAAAUCAGAAUAUUUGACCUAAAAUGAGCUGAAAUUUACAUUUGAAGUGAUUUGAGAACACUUCAAUAAUAAUAGCAAAGAACUCACUAAUCAAACUACAACAACAUUUUUGGAGACUUGAUAGAUCAAUUUAGAAGAACUUUUUCUGGUCCUUUCAAGGCAGAUUUACAUAUGCAAAACCAGUAAAUAAUUAGAAAUUAGUUUUAUCCUUUAAAGCAGGCAGAGAUUUACCCUUACUAGAACAAGAGUUUGCCCAUUACUGAUUAAAAGUUCAUGAAUUUGCAAGUAAAUAUUCUAUUCUUAAUUUGAAUUUGGCACUCAGACCAGCCACCUUUCCAUUUACUUCUAAGUAGUAAAGUUUUAUUUUGCUAAUAUUUAGGGCUAGUGGAAGGCAUAUAUUCAAUAGAUAGUUAUUGAGUAUCUAUACCUAUCAGUCACUGUGAAUGUAAUAUGGAAAAACCAAAGUCUCUACCCUCAUAAAACUUACAUUCUAGUCAAGAGAGACAGAUGAUAGAAGACAGCACUUGCACUACACACAGGCCAUGGAAGUGGGCUGAGGAAUGACCAUAAUCAUAACACACAGUGGCUAGGGCACUGAAGGAAGUGACACAAACUGCUGUGGUGGCCAUGGCAUACAGAGAAGGGGUCUCUGAAAAGCUGAUAUUUGAACAGAGAUUCUCAAGGUGAUGGAGAUGGCUCUGCAGCCACACAGAAGAAGUGAGUUCCAGACAAAAAGGAACUAUAGAUGCAAAGGCCCUGAGGGCAGAGUCUGGUUGGCAUCUUUACCAACUGUCAAAGGAGGCCAGUGUUGCUGGAGUGAACUGCAAAGAGUGGCAGAAGGUAAAGUCAGAGAGAUCGUGUAAACUCCGCUUAUAUAAAGCCUUUAUAUAAUAGGAAAGACUCUGAAUUUUAUUUUGGAUGAAAUGAGAGGGAUUUUAUCAUAUAGGCUUAGAGAAAACAAGCAAAGUGAUGGGAAAUGAGAAAGGGUGGAAGUGGAAAGACCAGUUGAGAGACUCUUGUCAUGACCCAAACUAGAAAUAAGUUGGUUAGUAUUAUGUAGUUUAGAAGGGAGUGGUAAGAAGCAUCCAUUUCCAAGUAUAUGUAAAAAGUUGAACUAAGAGGAUUUGCUGAUGGAUUGAAUACAGGAUAUGGGAAAAUUAAAAAGAGGUCAAGGAAAACUUCAAGCUUUUGGGUGUGAGCAAAUAGAAGGUAGAAGUUACCAUUUACUGAGAAAGGAAAGAUUGGAAAGGAGGAGUCUGUUUCAUGAAGAAGAACUAAACUUAGAUAUGUCAAUGUUGAGUUGCAUGUUACACGUAGAAGUGGAGAUGGCAUGCAGACAUGUAGGUCCUGGACUUGAAAGGAGAGACCUUCACAUCUCUGGCAUUUGAAUUAGGAAGCCAUGGCAGAGUCAUGCUUUAUUUCAGUUCAAGGGUAAGGAGAAAAGGGAACCAGCAAAGCCCAUGGAAAGGGACAGCUUAUGGAAUAGAAGGAUUAUGUCUCUAAAGCCAGGCAAAUGAAGUAAAUUGUGUCAAGGAUGCUGACAGAUUGACUAAGAUGACAACUGAGAGUUGUCUAUUAGUCUUAACAGAAGGGGAGAUUAUUGUUGAGCUGCACAAAGAAGUCUUGUAUACCUACUUCAAAUAGUACCACAUUUCUCUCUGCUUCUCUACAUCGAUUCAGUUCCUUUUAGUAUUUUAGACUAGUUAACAUUAUGAGUGGGAUGUAUUUGUUUGGCUACUCGUAACUAGAUAAAUAAGAACCUUGAGAACAGGACUGGUCUGUUUUGUUCCUGAAUCCACAGUGUCUGCAGUACACUUGGCACACACUAGGUCACUAAUAAAUGUUUGUUGAAAAAGUGAAUAUUCUAUUAUAAUGCAAGUCUGGAGUUAGUUUUUCUGAUUUUUUUCAUAGUUGAAAUAAACAGUUCAAAGUAUGUGUAAGAAAAAAAAUUAAAUUUCAUGUUUAGUGGGGUUUUUUAAGUCAUAAAACUAACCUUCGUAGAAUAAAGACAGUUGACUUGGGCCCUCAGGAUGAGAAAUGGAAUGGGAAUUUAGGCAUUCAGUUGUUAGCAUGAGGUGUGUCUCUCACUGUAAGAGUAGUUACUUGUGUAGAUCCAGUGAGAGCACAGUAUUACUCAUAUUUCCUCUUUCUCCAGAUACACAAAGAGUUCUAUUGUUUGCAACAUCUAAGCUAUUCCCUGGUGAUAAGUUAGGCCAGACAUCAGCAAUUUUCAGGGAGGAAGUAAAUAGAAUUGGGGUUGUGUUUUUUAAAAGCAGUCCCUCAAAAGAGUUUCCUUCUCUCUUUUGGGGUGUCCCCGAUUGCCCAGGCCAAAGAAAUACUGUUGGUUGGGGAAAGUGUGUUAGAUAUGUGUCAGGGUAUCUGUCCUGUUAAAAGUACCCCAUGAAUUGAAUAUGCUUUCAAUUCUUACAAUUAUGACAGACCAUGUUUUGAUUAAAUCACAAUUUACCAGCACCAGCACACUUAUUUUUAAGAAAAAGGCCCAGUCACCUCACCUGCUGAGUGAUCAUUUGGGUCAUAAGUUCAACCACUGGCCUGGGAGUGGGGGGGUUGGACCUGGGUACAUAAACAUCUUCUUGAGGUCACCUAAAGGUUGGUGACCUUUAAAUUCCUUGAACUAUUUUACAAAAGAAACUUUAGCCUAGUCAGAUGCCCUCUGUGAAGAGUUUGACCUUAAAAUUCACGGGAAAGUUUGAAUGAACUAAGGUGGCCACGCAGACAGGACUCAUGUGCAAGGAGUAUAAACAGAUGAUACCAUUCUUGACAGAGAAGCCAUGGGUCAGAGUCAGCAGAGGCAAAGAGAGCAGAGGAAGAGAAGCUACGAACUCUGUGUUCCUUUUUGUCCUUCAUGCUGCUUGGUUGUUUAACUUUUUCCUGGAUAUAUUAGGUCUUUCAGUAUCCUUACAAUAGGGUUGUUUUCCAGAGAUGGUUUGAGUGUUUUAUGUUCCUUACUAACUCCCCUACUAUAUGUUUGGCAAGAGCCCUCCGUAAAUCAAGUGUAAGAUAAAAAGAGGAGCUAAGAUGUUUAUAGCAUGCCCUCUGUUCACUUUCAAGGGUUGACACCUUUCAAUUCCAGUGGUUACGAAAAUCCAUUUCCUCAUUAUGAAAAUGACUACCUUCUGAUCCCAUCUUUGCCCAUCCCAGUUGUCUCUAUAGCAUACCCAGUGCCAAAAAUAAAAUGAAGUAAUCAGUAUGGAUGGAGAAAGGAAGAAAGACAGAGAUUCUAGGCAACAGAUAGUCUCUAACUGGGGAGUCUUGGUAAGCUCUGGAGCUAUUAAUUAGAUAGCUAGUUUCCAUGUCCCCACCAGGAAGAUUUAGACAAUGCUGCAGUAAAAAUUGAAGAUCUCAGGAUCUUAACAGAAGUUUGAAGUCCUCUGCAGGUCUGGGCAGCCUGCCAGGGCAGCUGUCCUCCCUGUGCUGACUCAGCAUCCCAGUGCCACAAUCAGCGCAGACAUCAACAGGUGCUUCGACUGUCACCCUGCAGGAGGAGAAGAGGGCUGGAGAGGUGAGGCCCAGCAAUCAAAAGCCUCUGCCUGCAUGGCACUCAUGAGUGACUACACUCACACUUCAUUGGCCUGAUCUCAUUACUUCACUGCACCUAAUUUCAAGGAGGGCAAAGGUACAUAAUCUUCCCACCUGUCCAAAAUUAGAGGGAAACCAAAUGUUUAUAAAAGGAAACAAAGCCAAGUAGAUUUCUAAAUAAUCUAUCCUGCGGGACCUCCAGGCUACUGUUUGACAUCCAAUGACUAGGGAUGUGUCUUAUCUGUUUUAGAUGCCAAGAUAGUCUUGGAAUGACCAUGACUCCUGUCCUGCUUCCUGAAUCAAACCUUCUGUCCCUCUUGCAUGGCCUCUACUGGUGUAAAUCAGAUACACUCCGUUGGGACUGGUUUGGUAUUAAGAUAUCUGCCCUGGGGCCCCAUGAGCCUAUACCAGAUUCCUGGUAUUAAUUCUAUUUGUUGUCUUCUUCCCAGCUCUGUCUCCCUCACUCUUCUCAUUCCAGUGCCUUUGCAGGUAGAUAAUGUUGGAAAAAUAGUUGACAAACUGGAUUGGGAAAAAUGCCCACUUAAUGCGUCUUCACUAUAAGUACAAACACAAAAUUCCUUUCUAUUUUUUGAAAGUCAUGAGCCGAUUAUUUAAAAAUAUGAAUAUACAUAUUUAUGUAUGUGUGUGCAUAUAUGAUUGUUUAUUUUUGUGAGUCACAGCAUUUUGUAAGAAGAUAAUAUGACUAAUUUAAUAAUGUGCAGAUUUAUUAUUAUGCAGCAUCAAUGCCAAGCAGUUUCUGUGAAGGUCAUGUUGGUGCUACUUUGACAUGGCAAAACAUAUUGUGUCUCUUCUAACUUCAUUAGUCCUACAGUGUUAUGGCUUUUCUUCCAAGUCAACUUGGCCAGGCUAUAAUUCAGUUAUUUAAUUAAUCACUAAUCAAGAUCUUACUAUGAAGAUAGUUCAUACAUGUGGCUAAUACCUAUAAUCAAUUGACUUUAAGUAGACUACCCUCAAUAAUGUGUGGGGGGGGUCUCAUCCAAUCAUUUUAAGGACUUAGCAAAAUAGAGAUUUCCAGAAAGAGAAGGAAUUCUUCUUCAACAGCACAGCAUCAAUGCCUGCCUGAGUUUUCUGCCUGUUGGCCUGCCUUGAACAAGUCUCUCCCCCUCCCACCCCUGCCACCCCCCCUCACACACACACAUACACACACCAUAUCACAUGGUCAUGAAAAGAUUAAGCUCCUUACUUUGCUUUCUUUUCUCAUGGUCUGAGCUAAGAAUUUCUAUUCACCUAAAUACCUACUUCCAAGGUAAUUAUAAUACAUAGGUACCUAAGGGUUGGGGUCACUAAAUGUUCACCCUGAGAGGAAGAUUCAUAUAAAAGUGAGGUAGACAAGAUUUUCCAAGGAAAAAAAAAGUAGUAAGAAAGUUAGGAAUGUGUCAGGGGAGCAAAGAAAGUCCAGCAAGGAUUUGAUAUCAAUCAAAGACCCACAGAUGAGGAAACUUUGGUACAAUCCUGCAAGGAGGUUUAUAAGUCACCUUAGAGCAGACUCAUCAGAGCCAAAGAGCUAAGUAAAUAUACCCAACAGUCAAUGCAGAAAACUGCCUGGGGCUAAUGCCAGGCAAGUCUAAGCACAAUGCCCCCAACAAAGACAUAGGUAGAAGCACAUAGGGAGCUGUUUGCAUGGAGACGGGAAACUUAGAGGGUUACAGACAGGACACUGAAACCAUCAACUAGCCAGGAUUGAAAAACAUUUGGAGAGAGGGAGGAUGAAGGAAAGUAACCACACCACUUCAUUUAAGAAAGGGAGUUAAAAAAAAUCGUAUCUCUUCUCAUACAAUAUCAAAUUUUCCUCCUUUGCAGUUUCACUUGCAGAUGGCUUUACUCCUUCCCCAUUUCCAAUCCUCAACUAAUGUCCCUUUUUUCGAUGCCUGAAAUUCUCAAGUCACAGAAUAUAGCAUUUAACCCAUUUAUGGUUAAAACGAAAAUAUUCUUAAGACAGGAAAUGCAUUGAGUCAACUCAGAGCCUAGGCCUCUCCCAGGUGUUUGUGGCCAGGGCCCCUUCCCAGCCUGGGAGGGCCUUGGGUGCGUGCUGAGUGUUUUAUCUGUUCAGAAGCCUCAUUUCAAACAUGACUCAUCACAUGAUUCUUCAUGACAGCAUCUCAACACUAUAGGUUGGUUCUCCUUGUUUUAUUUUUGCCAUUAUAUGGUGGCAUAUCAUUGUACAUAUGCCAAAAUUAUGUUUUCACCUAAUAUUUCCUUGAUUUGCAAUGAUAUUAUAGAACUUUUUAUAUGUUUAAUGACCAUUUUGAUAUCUGUUUUUUUGUGAAAGAUUAUUUUAAGUCCAUUUCCAUAUUUCUAUUGGAUUGUCUUUUUCUAACUGAUUUUUAGCACUUCUUUAUGAAUUCUCUUCUGGAAUUUACCAUUUUAUUCUAAUAGUGUUAUCAUAUAUAUAUAAAGAUAUAUCUUUAUAUAUACACACACAUAUAUUGUAGUUGGACACAAUAUCUUUAUUUUAUUUAUUUAUUUUAUUUUUAUAUGGUGCUGAGGAUCAAACCCAGUACCUCACAGUGCCAGGCAAGCACUCUACCUCUGAGCCACAGCCCCAGCGCCUAGUGUUAUCUUUUGAUAAGGAAAUAUUUUGAGAAUUUUAAUGUGAUCCAGUUUGUCAGUCUUUUCUCUCAUAGUCAGAACUUUUUAUAUGUUAAGAUAUAUUUGUAUACUCCACAUUUAUAAAGACAUUCUGUUAUCUUUUUAAGGCUUUAUUAUUUUAUUUUUCAUAUUUGAUUCUGCAAUCUACCUGGCUUUAUCUUUGUUUAUUAUUAAGGUUAUUAAUUGUUAAGGUUGGUUUUUCCAUAUGGCUCUUCAAUUAAUCUAACACUUAACUGACUGCAGAGACUGUCCUUUUGCCACUGUUCUGCAGUGCCACAUGGGAAAUUAACCAUAUAUUCAUGAACACUCAGGUCCUUUUCACAAUGGUGUGAUUGUGUGCUUGUCCCACUAACUUUGUGGAGGGGAAAUAUUUAUUUCUGUAUUCCUAGUACCGCCUAUAAAGUAGGUAUGCACUGCUUUCACAUGAAUGAAGAAAUUAGAGAAUAAGUGGACUAUGUGAAUUCACCUUUUUUAGUGAUAUUAAAAUGUAUGAUGAGUUUUGUUGCUGAGUGAAUCUGUCAGGAGAGACAUUCUUUCUUCUUCAGCUACCUGUGUUUCUCUCUUGAGCCUCACUUUAAUGUGGGGUCCAUGUAUUUCUAGUGGAUAAUACAGGUGUAUUCAAGAAAGAAUACUAACUCAUUGAUUAUUGGGACUAACUAGAUUAGACCUAUAGAAAUCCUCUCCUCUAAAUUCUCAACUCGCAAAUGAGCAAAGUAAGGUGUAGAGACCUAAAUUCAAGUCACAAAGGAGGCAGUGUCUAAGACACUCUGGCCCCUAAGGUGCUUCUAUUGACUAGGUUGCCUACUGAAGACAGGCAGCAAUGGCCUGAGCUUAAGCAGCAAUUGCAUCUAUGAUUUGUAUGUGGUGCUGAGGAUCGAACCCAGGUCCUUGCACAUGCGGGGCAAGGGCUCUACUGCUGAGCCACAACCCCAGCCCCCAUUUUUUAAAUUUAAUUAUUUUUUUAGUUGUAGAUGGACAUAAAUAAAUUUAUAUAUUUAUUUGUUUGUUUAUCUAUUUAUUUGUUUAUGUGGUGCUGAGGAUCAAACCUAGUGCCUCACACAUGCUAGGCAAGCUCUCUACCACUGAGCUACAACCCCAGCCCCAAAAUAGCCAUUUUUAGCCUACAUAAUUUAAGAAAAAUAAUUAUACCUCACAAGUGUUGAUUAUUACUAUGUUAGGCAUUACACGGGAAGUUCUGCACUUAUGAUCCCAUUCAUUCAUUCAAAUUCUCCCAAGAAGAGAGCUUUGUAAUGUUCUCACAGAGAUUAAAGAAGUGACCCCGGUUUACAAAGACCAACAAUGGUUUGAAAUCAUAAAACCUUGACUCUAGACCCUUCCACCCUAACACUAAUACUGAGGUGGCUUGUUCCAACUGUUACCAUCAAUGAAACUUCUGAGAGAAGGUUAAAAUUUCUGUUGCUUAGCAAAUAACUCAUUACAAACAAGAAGUUUUGGGUCCAACUUUCUUUUUCCAUCACAAGGGCAUAAUAUAAUUCAAGACAUGUAUAUACCAGCAAGGAAUUUAAAAAGAACAAAUAUCAUGCACAAAACAAAAAUCAUUAAAAUUUUGCUAAUUAAUAACAAGAAAACCAUACUUUCAUAUUGUUCAGUUCAUACUAUUUUAAAUCAAAGCAAUGUUGUUCUGUAACUCUAUCAUAUUUAUUUUUCUAAAAUAAAACUUUUAAAUUUUAAAUAAAGAAGAAUUAUUUUUAAUGACCACUUCACCAGAAAAAUAUAAGAAGGCAAUGAAUGUGUUUAAAUGAAAGUUACCAACAACAUACAUGCUUAAUGUUGAAAUAUUUUAAAUCCAAAGGGUAAACAAUGUUCAAUUUUAAAAAUCUGCAAAAGUAUCGGAUACUUUGUCUACAGAUUAUUGCCCUGAUUAGGAGUUACUUAAAUAUUGAUGUCUACAUUUGCUAAAAGGAAGAGAAAAAACAUACAUCAACUUCCCAAAAGUUAUCAAUCCAUUUUCUCUACAUAUCUAACUGUAAAAAUGAAACUUAUAUGUAAAUUUGACUUUAAUCCACCUUUCUAAAAAAAAUGCUACCAUUUUUCUGCCAUUAAGGCCUAAGCAGGAUAUACACAUACUUUAUAUGUCAUUUGAAUUUUGUUGCUCUGAAUCAACUUUCCUGACAGCAAACACUGCAUUUCAGUUUCACUUACAAACUGUAUUGAAAGGAAUGGGAAAAGGUCAGCCUGUUUAAAAUAUGUUUUAAUGUGGUAGAGUUGUCAACAGUGGUGUGUCAUAUUCUUUGGAAAUUUGAAUGAAUGUGGUCUGGUUUCCACUUCUAGGGGUAGUGGCUGUUCGCAGAGCUCUCUGUAAAAUCAGUCUUUCCUUACCAUGUUUCCUCAUGUGACUUUGAGCUCCUAAUCUACAUGGGCUGUUUUAGUUCUUGGCCAUAUUAUACUCUCAUGUGAAUAUCCCCCACCAUCACUGUUUCCUUAAAAUUUCACUCUUUAUCAGCAUUUCAUGAAUUAAUGAAUAUAUUGAAAAUUUUUGAAGGGUUUUGAGGAAGGACCAUUUCACACAAUCUACAACAUAUGCCUUCUUGUUAACUCCUUUGUUCCUCCUUUUCAUUCUGGUAUAUCCCAAAGAUGGGACUCCCUCCAUUUGUUCUUCCCUUCCGUAUUAUAUUCCCCUUCUCCUACAGACUUUCUCAAGUGUACCAGCCCUGCCAAGUUUAAAUGCCUUUCUAACCUUUCUAGUAAAUGUUAUCAGUUUCUUAAAUAUAGUUGUCCUUCCUAUCCUUGGAUUCAACUAAUAUAGAUAACAAAUAAUCAGAAAGCAAUUAUGACUGUACUGAAUAUGUACAAGCUUUUUUUCUUAUCAUCAUUCUCUGAACAAGACAGUAUAAACUCCUUACUUAGUAUGUAUAUAGAAUCAGCCAUCAUAAGAAAUCUAGACAAUCUGUACACUCAGAAAAAUGAGAAAUUAUACCACAUCUGAUUCAAAUGUAUGAUAUGUGAAGAUCAUUGUACUGUCAUGUGUAACUAAUUAAAACAAAUUUUAAAAAAUCAUAACAUGUCAAAAAUAAACAAAAUAUAUAUUAAAAAAGAAAUCUAGAGCUGAUUUAAAGUAUUACAAUAGGACAUGCAUGGGUUAUAUGCAAAUACUACACAAUUAUAUAUAAGGGACUUGAGCCUCCUCAUAUUUUUGUGUAGAAGGAAGCCCUCAAAUUGAUCCCUCAGGGAUACUAAGGGACUAUUUUUUAAAUUUGUUCUUUUUAGUUAUACACAACAGUAGAAUAUAUAACCACCAUUCUUGUAGUUGUACAUGAUGCAGAGUUAUACUGGUCAUGUAUUCAUAUAUGAACAUAGGAAAGUUAUGUCCAGUUCAUUCUACUGUACCAAGGGACUACUGUAUAAAGAAUAAAUCCUUUAUCUUUUCAAUAAAUGACCCUUACUUUUUACUCAAAGUAAUUCCAAAAUAAGAUAAAACCCAAGUAAAGAAAAAUAUAUUACAUGGGUUCAAAGAUGUGUGAUAAUACAAAAGUUACUGAGAUAGUAUUUUCUAAUUUUAAGCAAGAGUUCAGUCUUAACCAUAAAAUAUCCAAAAACUAGUUAAUAUUACAUAAAAAGAAAGAAAAAACGUUUGAAUCAAGAGGGGAGAGAUUUAAAGUUUGGUUGAUGCACUGAUAUGUGGAAUAGGUGAAGUUAAGGAACUAUUUUUGUGGACAGGGGAAUUAAAUAUACUUUGCAAGAUCAGAUUUCUGUUUUCAGCAAUUAAGAAAUAAAUUUGGAACUUUAAACUUUCCUACUCAAGAGUUUGUCAGUUUCAGUUAAGGUUUCUGUAUCCUGGUGUUGUUUCCAAUGGAGAAGACAGAAACUGAAAUAAUACCAAUAUCUGACAUAUUUUUUGCCUCCAUACAUUUGCCAGGUUAGAAGCCUCUCUCCAUAUUCCAAGAAGAUGAAUGUAACAGAAGCAGAGUGGAAGGGAAGCGAGAUGGAAAGUGACUAAGAGGUCAUGAAAGUAAGCAAAGCUUUAGGCAGUCUAUGGACCUUGGGAUGAGGAAGGGAGAAAAAUUAAAGCAUGGAGUGUUCCACAUAGAAGGUAUCUCAGUAAAAAAUCUGGCUUUUAUUGAAUGACUGAAGGAGUACACUGGAGGAGUGAUGGCUAACUAAAAUGUAUUGGGAUAACAGAACAAGCACCCAUGCAUCUGUACCAAACAUAGGAAAUAAAACUAUUGCAAAUACUAUCAGAGCCUCUUGUGAACUCUCCCUUAUUGCAUUCCCCUGAAGUUGGCAUCACUCUUCUGGACGUUUUAUAUUUCUAAUACAUAUGUAUGAAUUCCAUAAAUAUAUGUGGUGUUAUUUUGCAUAUUUAAAAAAAUUAUAGAAAUGCUAUUAUGCUCUCUAUAUUUUUUAGCAACUUGCUUUUUCAACAUUGUCUUUAAGAUUUAUUCAUAUUUAUAUAUUUAGCUCUUAUUAUUUCAUUUUAACCAUUGCAUAAGUUUUAUUUUAUGAAUAAGUAGAUGUUUAUCCAGAGCCCCAUUAGCAGACAUUUAAUUUUCUUUUGAAGCUUUAUUUAUUUAUUUAGCUAUUAAAACCAAUGCUGCUAUAAAUAUUUUGGUAAACUUCUCUUUGUGUACAUGUGUGAACCAAGCAUAUCUAACAGAAGAAUCAUUGCCUUGAACGCUGUGUAUAUUUCCAAUGUCAUUUAAUAUUUCAAAUUGCUUUUUAACCCAACUGAACUAAUUUACACUCUGCCAGGAAUAUUUGAUCCUCAUUAACAGUUUUUAUUUUAUCCAAUCGGAUGCACGUGAAAUCAUAUCUUAUGUUUUCAAAUAACAUUUUUUUCAGAGUAAAUGUGCACUUUGGCAUCUUUUAUUAUGUUUACUGGCCAUUUAGUUUCCUUCUGAGUAAACCACUUGUUAUAUCUCUAGUGGUUUGGUACUAUUUCAACAUGGCUAGGCUAGAACCAUGCUUACCAGAAUCUCCUUCGCACAUGAUUUCCGUUAGUCAGCCAAAAGAGAUAUUUAUAUGAGACUUGGAAGGGAGAAGUAAAGCAAUCACCAUUUUUCUUUGGAGAGUAUCAUGACUGGAAAAGGUAAGAGACAGACACAGAUAUAUUGAUAGCUUCCAGCAUGUCCUUUCUUGACCCUCCUAUGUGUAGCUCUUCUUCCUGGUCAUAGGACUUGCCCCAUGAGAUCCAGAAGCAGCAACCUUCCACAGAGCCUAUCUACCUAUGCACUGCAGUUCCAGCAGCUGGAAGAACCUGUCUCCAGGAGGACUGGGCAGUGAUUUUUCUGUAUUAUCUAAUUUUCCCCUUUGGAACCCAAGUUUCCUAGUUACUCCUACAAUUAUGUAAGUUUUUAUUUCGGUAUAAAUUCCUCAGAAAACAAAAUAAAACAACACAAAACUAGAAAACCUAGAAACUUGUGAACAGCAAAUACAGAAGCAGGAACCCCACAGGCUAAGAUCUGGGAGAGAAGACAGGAACUGAAAUAAACCCAGUAUCUGAUAUAAUUUUUGUCUCCAUGCAUUUGCCAGAUGCUAAGCCUCUCUCCAUAUUCUAAGAAGAUGAGUGUAAUGGAAGCAGAGUGGAGGAGAAGCCAAGUGGAAAAUGACUAAGAGGUCAUGAAACUGAGCAAAGCUUUUGGCAGUCUGUGGACCUUGGGAUGAAGAGGAAGAAACAUUAAAGCAAGGCUUGCUCCACGGUGAAGAGACCCUGGUAAAAUCUCUGGCUUUUAUUGAACGAGUACACUGGUAAAGGAGUACACUGGGGGAGUGAUUGCUCACCAGAAAUGGAAUAGAACUUAUAAAACUGGAACCCAGUAUUGUUUAAAUAAAAAUAAAAAUUAUCAUCAAUGGAAAUAUUUAAUGUUGCAAUAAUAUAAAUGCAAUGGGUAAAGAAUGUUUAAUUUGAGGCUGAAGUUGGAGAACUUGCCUAGCACAUAUGAGGCAGGGUUCUAGCCUCAGCACCACAUAAAAAUAAAAAAAUAAAGAAAGAAUAAAAAAGUUUAGUUUUUUUUAAAAAGAAUAUUUAAUCUGAAAAUCUUCAAAAGUAUUGCAUUCUUUAAUUAUAGAUAAAUCUAUAGAUUGUUGCCUUGAUUAGGAGAUAUGUAAGUAUCGAUGUCUACAUUUCCUAAAGGAAAAAGGAAAUAUAUAUGUCUGUUUGCCAAAAGUCAUCCCACCAUCCUCUGUUCAUAUCUAGCUGUAAAACUACAUAUCAAAAAAUUCAAACAUACUGCAUAAAGCCAAUUUAUUUAUAACUUUUUUAAAAGGAUAGAUUUCUAGUUCUUAGUUGUGCAUGUAUAAAAAGAUUAAAAGUCUUCACUCUAUCCUAACAAGUAAAAAGCUCAACAAACUGAAAAUUCAACACAUCUUUCUGGAUUCAUAAGAGAAAUGAAAAC
rnacentral:lncRNA from 1 species